rnacentral:lncRNA from 1 species
CACUACCCUGCGGACCCUAUUUUCUUUUUUUCUUCUUUUUUACUUAUCAGGCUGCUAAGUAAAAUUGUGUGACUAGGCUAGGUGCUUGUCUAGAUCACGUAUACUAAUGAGUAAUCUAAUGCACAGGCGAGAGGCUCUGCUUGUAGCACAGACGCUACCAUAGUCCCGAGGCUAUGUCUGGCAAGACCAGAAGCUCUGCACCUAGCAGAUGCCGCCAUAGUCCCGAGGCACCGUCUGGCAAGGUACUUCGGGCAAAUCAACCCAUCUGAAGUGCGAUAC